rnacentral:rRNA from 1 species
CCUACGGGGUGCAGCAGUGAGGAAUAUUGGUCAAUGGGCGUAAGCCUGAACCAGCCAAGUCGCGUGAGGGAUGAAGGUUCUAUGGAUCGUAAACCUCUUUUAUAAGGGAAUAAAGUGUGGGACGUGUCCUGUUUUGUAUGUACCUUAUGAAUAAGGAUCGGCUAACUCCGUGCCAGCAGCCGCGGUAAUACGGAGGAUCCGAGCGUUAUCCGGAUUUAUUGGGUUUAAAGGGUGCGUAGGCGGCCUUUUAAGUCAGCGGUGAAAGUCUGUGGCUCAACCAUAGAAUUGCCGUUGAAACUGGGAGGCUUGAGUAUGUUUGAGGCAGGCGGAAGGCGUGGUGUAGCGGUGAAAUGCUUAGAUAUCAGGCAGAACCCCGAUUGCGAAGGCAGCCUGCGAAGCCAUGACUGACGCUGAUGCACGAAAGCGUGGGGAUCAAACAGGAUUAGAUACCCUAGUAGUC